rnacentral:rRNA from 1 species
ACUGCUCAGUAACACGUAUGUAACCUGCCCAUGAGUGGGGGAUAGCCCAGCGAAAGCUGGAUUAAUACCGCAUGAUACAGUUUGAAGACAUCUGAUAAUUGUUAAAGAUUUAUUGCUCAUGGAUGGACAUGCGUCUGAUUAGCUAGUUGGCGGGGCAACGGCCCACCAAGGCGACGAUCAGUAGGGGUUCUGAGAGGAAGGUCCCCCACAUUGGUACUGAGACACGGACCAAACUCCUACGAGAGGCAGCAGUGAGGAAUAUUGGUCAAUGGGCGGAAGCCUGAACCAGCCAAGUCGCGUGAAGGAUGAAGGUAUUAUGUAUUGUAAACUUCUUUAGCAGUGGAGUAAUAAGGUGGUCGUGACCACUGAUGCAAGUACACUGAAAAUAAGGAUCGGCUAACUCCGUGCCAGCAGCCGCGGUAAUACGGAGGAUCCGAGCGUUAUCCGGAUUUAUUGGGUUUAAAGGGUGCGCAGGCGGCUUUAUAAGUCAGCGGUAAAAUCGUGGUGCUCAACGCCAUCAUGCCGUUGAUACUGUAGAGCUUGAUUGCGGUUGAGGUAGGCGGAAUUCGUCGUGUAGCGGUGAAAUGCAUAGAUAUGACGAAGAACACCGAUUGCGUAGGCAGCUUACCAAGCCGUAAAUGACGCUCAGGCACGAAAGUGCGGGGAUCGAACAGGAUUAGAUACCCUGGUAGUCCGCACAGUAAACGAUGAAUACUUGCUUUUGGCGAUAUACUGUCAGAGGCAAAGCGAAAGCGAUAAGUAUUCCGCCUGGGGAGUACGCCGGCAACGGUGAAACUCAAAGGAAUUGGCGG